UACGUAGGGAGCAAGCGUUGUCCGGAAUCAUUGGGCGUAAAGCGCGCGUAGGUGGCUUCGUAAGUCCGUUGUGAAAGUCAAAGGCUCAACCUUUGAAAGCCGAUGGAUACUGUGAAGCUAGAGUACGGAAGAGGCGAGUGGAAUUCCUGGUGUAGCGGUGGAAUGCGCAGAUAUCAGGAGGAACACCAAUAGCGAAGGCAGCUCGCUGGGACGUUACUGACACUGAGGCGCGAAAGCGUGGGGAGCGAACAGGA
rnacentral:rRNA from 1 species